GCUGGGCGCGGUGGCUCACGCCUGUAAUCCCAGCACUUUGGGAGGCUGAGACGGGUGGAUCACCUGAGGUCAGGAGAUCGAGACCAGCCUGACCAACAUGGAGAAACCCCGUCUCUA
rnacentral:sRNA from 1 species